rnacentral:misc_RNA from 1 species
AGCAGCCGCGGUAAUUCCAGCUCCAAUAGCGUAUAUUAAAGUUGCUGCAGUUAAAAAGCUCGUAGUUGAAUUUCGGGACCAUCAUGUUGGUCGUGCCUCGGUACGUACUGGCAUUGUUGGUUUCUCCCUUCUGACGAACCAUGAUGUCAUUUAUUUGGUGUCGUGGGAAAUCAGGACUGUUACUUUGAAAAAAUUAGAGUGUUUAAAGCAGGCUCACGCUUGAAUACAUUAGCAUGGAAUAAUGAAAUAGGACGUUUGAUUCUAUUUUGUUGGUUUCUAGGAUCGACGUAAUGAUUAAUAGGGAUAGUUGGGGGCAUUAGUAUUCAAUUGUCAGAGGUGAAAUUCUUGGAUUUAUUGAAGACUAACUACUGCGAAAGCAUUUGCCAAGGAUGUUUUCAUUAAUCAAGAACGAAAGUUAGGGGAUCGAAGACGAUCAGAUACCGUCGUAGUCUUAACCAUAAACUAUGCCGACAGGGAUCGGAUGAUGUUAAUUUUUUANGACUCAUUCGGCGCCUACGGG